GUAUUGCAAGGAUUCGUUGUACUGUCACGUUUGGUUAAUCUAUUAUUCGCGCUGGGGUUGGAGAAGCUGAAAACUAUAAACUGG